UGCUUCUCCAGAGAGCCAGCUGUGCCCCUGACAGUCCCCUUCCAGCCCAGAGCCAGGGUCUGGUCACAUUCAGUCACAUUUAAUCCAUUAGCUAAGGGGACGGGGUGUCCUGGCUUCCAGGAGCUCAGAGUCUUCUGCAAGACAACAGAUGUGUGCGUUAAGGUCUUCAGGAAAGCGACACACGCAGCCAUGGCCUCCUGUGACAACAGCACCUCCUCUGGCUCUCUCCUGAAGGCCUGCCUGAGGCUGUUCCACAGUUAACUUGGCCUUUUAAAGAUGCUGUUCCCAGUCCUGCUAGGGGCCACUGUGUCUGGCAUACCUGUGGACCUCCCAGACCCACCUCCGCAUGUAUGAUGCACAGUCAAAGUGUAAUUCAUACCGGCAGGAGUGAAGAUGCACUAAGGAAACGCGUGGCCUCCUUUUUGUUACUAGACUGUCGAGACCAUGGCCCCCAGGAAAUUACAAUUCCCGCAGGAAUCUCACGCAGGGAGAAACAAGAGGCUGAAUCCUGAUGCCAGCCAGAGGCAAAGCUUGUCUCCAGGAAAGAGGUUUCGGUACAGUUUCGGAAGCUCGUUUGGCCACCUUGAAGAAGAGACUAGAGUCCAUCAUUGGUGGGCCAGUGAUAAAUAGGGCUGUACCCCACCAGGAGCGCCUACUGGAUAAAUAAUUUUCCAAAUGAAUUGCCUUUCUCUUUGCUUCACUAUUACUUUGUCUGUUGAAUUGGCCUAUUGCGCAUGGGUGGCCCAAGCUCUGGCCCUAACAAAAUAACCCCGAGUCUUCCAGGUCCAGCCCUCCCAAGUCUGCUUUCCUGCAUCUGGGUCAUCAUUAGUCUCUCCCUCUUGUCUGUGCCCACACUAUUUGUGGAACUUCAGUGUAGCCCUGACUCAUCUGCAUGUGUCUUCUCUCCAGCUGGUGGGCCCUGCCUCCUUGUGGGGGCUGUUUGCUGAGCCAGCCUGAGACAGCAAGUAUCUGUGAGGUGCCAGGCGCAGAGCUAGGUAUGGGCUUCCUCAUACGCCUCCACUGAUGGGGAAAAGGGCCCUGUUACUAAUGGCCUCUGAAAUGAACAGAGCCAGGGCCCAGAGAGGUGAAGCCAUAUACCCUGGGCACCCUGCUCAGCUGUGGCCCUGAGGUCUCAUUCCAAGGCCACCAGAUCCUGUAGUCGAGUUCUCUUGGGACCUCAGGAGCUCAUCAGGCCCAGUUUGUCAGUGGGUACCAAUCGUCCGGCUCCUGUAGCAGGGCUGAGCCCUGAGCUUAUGUGACUACACACCGUGGAUGUCUUGUGCUUUGGCUGCAUCCAGGAGGAUGAAGCAGGGGUGGAAAAGAAGGCCCAGCUAGCACCAGGCAGGUCCAUCUCACCUUGAUGUAGGUGAAGGAAUCUGUGACCCGAGGGAGGCGGUAGUCCCAAGGGCUGGGGCCUGAUCUGCCCCUCUCCAGACCCAGAUGACCUGACUGUUUCUCCUUCCUAGCUGGGUCUUACACUGCCCUUUGUGUGCUACAUCUUCCCUCAGCGGGGCCUGUCUUCCAGGGUGGCAUGUCAUGUGCCCCCCAAUACCACCACCAGAGUGCAUGCAAAGAGCCCCACUUCUCAGAGUGCUUCCUGCUGGCUGGGAGUCACGUCAGUCACACUUCAGCAGGCAGGGACAGAGCCAGAUGCAAGCCCCAUCCUUCCAGGCUCCCUGGAUGGGUAGCCAUCUUGCCUGCCCUCCUUCCUCCUGAGCCCCCGAGCCUUUCUUGAUCUGACCACAGUGUUCCCUGGACUCACCUGCUCCACCUGCCUUCUUCCCAGGCCAGGGAGCAGCCUGUGAUUUUCCCUGUCACAUGUCCUGGCUCCACCACCUCCUGCCCACAUGUCUGCAGCUCUACUCUUCCUGUGACCUGGCCCCUGCUAGCUGUCCCCCUGUCACGUGGACCCCGAAGCAGCUAACGACAGUAACAAAACCAACAGGCUUCCUUUCCUGCCUUCCUUCACUGUCCCCACGGGCACUUCCUUCACGAUCGCCGCCCUCAGGAAUCCCAGUCAAGUCCUCUCCACUUUUCCAGCUCCCUUCACUUCUCUGUCUGAUCUCAUCAUCAACUUGAU